rnacentral:rRNA from 1 species
UAGGGAAUCUUCGGCAAUGGGGGGCAACCCUGACCGAGCAACGCCGCGUGAGUGAAGAAGGUUUUCGGAUCGUAAAGCUCUGUUGUAAGAGAAGAACGUGUGUGAGAGUGGAAAGUUCACACAGUGACGGUAACUUACCAGAAAGGGACGGCUAACUACGUGUCAG